AGGCACGUAUCAAUGAAAGUCCCUAUCCGAAUGACCUGGCGGGAGUCAUUAUUGAUCGACCCACCGAUGACAGUUCACCCACUAAUGAAUUGACAACAGCAAACCCAGAGGCACGUAUCAAUGAAAGGUGAGUUAUAUUUAGAUAAAUAAAGACACACAUAUGCAUAACUGUGCAUAGAAGUAGUCACACACCCAGACACAUAAACAAAAUAUAUCCAUCCAUCCAUCCAUCCAUGCAUCCAUCCAUCCCCACUUCUCUGAAC
rnacentral:lncRNA from 1 species